GUAGUAUUCCCUCCGUCUCAAAAUUCUUGUCUUACAUUUGUUUAGAUACGGAUGUAUCUAACACUAAAAUGUAACUAGAUACAUCCGUAUUUAGACAAAUUUAAGACAAGAAUUUUGGGACGGAGG
rnacentral:pre_miRNA from 1 species